rnacentral:tRNA from 1 species
GACUUCGUAGGUUAAAUAAACUUUGUAGAUUGCAUUUACAAGAUGGGAAGUUA